AGCCAAUCAUUUCGUUAUCUUUAUUGUAUGGAGGCAGAUUGCAGAAUAAAGUAUUAUAAUCUUCGGUGACCUUAUGAAAUGACGUAUUAAAAUAUUAAUUAUGAUGUAUUAUUAAUUUCAUUUACUUACUAAUUAAUAUUUACUAUUUAGUAAAUCAAAUAUCAAUAGACAAUAUUGUCAAACAUUUAACUGGGUAGAUGUCAACUGUCAGGGGUUAGAAGUUGGAUGUCUGAAACACAUAGUAAAAAAUAUUUGUUGGCUGAAAAAUAAAAAUAAAUAACAAUCAAACUCAACAACCAUGGAUGCUUCUAGGCUGGUCGGUAUUGAUGUCGAAUGAUACACAAUCAUUUUUAAUUAUUUAGCUUAGCCAAAAAAACGAAUCGAGUAGUAACUGAGUAGUCACUUACCCAGGCGGGUGGAUCAGGAGCAUGCACCAAAUUAAAUUUUUGCACAUUGUCUACCAAGAUGGCUAUGCUGUACUUAUACCUGCUCAUCGGCGUGACGGCAAUCAAAAUGAAAAUAAAUAUAUAAAAGUAAAAAAGAUACCUAUAAUUUAUAUAGAGUAUGCAUCAAGAGGGGUCCGCAAUCCACCUAUGGUGGAUUGUCCGCCUGAUAAUAUACUGCUUGCAUUAUCACAAGCGGGUUUCAUCCAAAAUGAAAAUGAUAUUUGAUUGAGUGAAGGCAUACAGAACAACUUUUUAAAAUCAAAAAUAAUAUUCAAUUUAAAUUUUAAAUGAACCAAGAAACUGAGUUUUUCACAUAUUUAUUGGAGGAAUAAUAGUAUGAAAGAAAAAUUAGCUAAUCAAACAUCUCGGUGGCUCAGUCGUAAAGGCAUUUCAAUUUUUACAAAACAUUUCAGUAGACUCUAAAAAUUGUGAAGCUACUAUUAAAUUUAUACUAAUUAUUGAUGAGAUUUUUGAUUUUUUUAAUUUGAGAAAUGCAUUUACAAGAAAAUAUAAAAAAACAAUGUAUCCAUAAAAUUUAGUAGGUAUACCUAGAAUCUAGAAUAAGCAAGAGUGGGAGUUAACCAAAAAAAAAAUAUAUUUGACUGACCAUUAAUAUGUCUAAGUUCUUAACAUGUUGGCAAUUUUACUGUUAAUUUUAUUAAGAAUGGACUUUAAGUUAUGUUAUAAACAAAAUUACCAACCAUUAAGAUUGUAAAAUCAAAACAUAAUAUAAUACAAUAUUUAUACUUGCCAUUCUGGGAACCGAGAGAAACCUCUGUUCUACAUUAUUAUCAUUGUAAAUGUCGCUCUUCGAAACUAUGUAGGCAUAAUAUAUUAAUACGAAACCGGAAAAUUCUCACUAUAACAUUUUUGUUGAUGAAAUUUGAUUUAUCUCAACCCACAGGUGUCAUUGUAUUGUAUUAACAAUUAAUUCAACUUACAUCUCUAUACUUAUAUAAUAUAACAUCACUGCGACUAAAAUUAAAACUCCAAGUCCAAAAAUUAAUACAAAUAUAUAGUUUAUUUCAUAAAAAAGUCAGUAAAAUAGUGUGCUUACAUAUUUCUAUAUAUAUUUUAAAAUUCUAUUUAGCUCCCGUUAAAAAAAAAUCCUGGGUGGGCACUUGAGAAUGAGAAAUCACAUGUAUAGCAUUUCUAUACUCACUUAAACAAUUAAACAACAUACAUCAGAACAACCAUUAAAAUAAAUACAUUUUUUUUAUGUGUAGAAUAUUAAGAUUUUAUUAGCUUGUAAUUGUAUGUACUUAUGUGACACUUGUUAACAUAAUAUAUGUUUAAUCAGGAAGCUCUUGAACUACUUUUUGGUCAUAUUAGAGGAAGGUUUGGAUAUAACAUUUUCCCAAAUUAUUUAAAAUUGAAAUAUGCUAUUUGCAGUAUUUUAUUACAGAAUUUCAUUAAAAUGUCUACUGAAAACUAUACACUGUUUAUGUCAAAUAAUUCAUUACUUUCAUUGAAGUAUAAUUAUAAAGACAAAUAAAAGUACUUAUUAUAUGUUUGGAUAAACUUAUUGUCAACCAUAUUUCUGGAGACAUCAACUGUGAAUACUGUAUGGAAGAAAUAUCAGAAUCAUCAUGGACAUCCAACAGAAAAGAUCUCAUUACAAAUUAUCAAUAAAUUUGAUUACACAUACCUAACAGUUUUGUGUCAUUUAAGUGUAUAUGUGGACUUAAAAAUGCGUCUGAAAGCACUAAACAUUGUUAAAGUAAUAAAGUGACUAAAACAUUUUUUUUAAUCCAUUAUUAUUAAUGAAAAAUAGAUUCAUGAUCAGUAUUACCUCAAUGUGACAAAUGCACUGAGGUCAUAUAUACUUACAUUUUACUCUACAUAAAAUAAAAAUACUUAAUUGCAAUGAUUAGCCAAGCCUAUUUGAAUACCUAUCUAAACAACAUCAUAAUUAAUUUAGUAAAAUCUUCACCAGUUAUUAAUGAAAGAUACAGUUUGCAACUAAAAACAAUCAUUUUAUUUCAUA